rnacentral:rRNA from 1 species
CUUGCUUCUCUUGAGAGCGGCGGACGGGUGAGUAAUGCCUAGGAAUCUGCCUGGUAGUGGGGGAUAACGUCCGGAAACGGACGCUAAUACCGCAUACGUCCUACGGGAGAAAGCAGGGGACCUUCGGGCCUUGCGCUAUCAGAUGAGCCUAGGUCGGAUUAGCUAGUUGGUGGGGUAAUGGCUCACCAAGGCGACGAUCCGUAACUGGUCUGAGAGGAUGAUCAGUCACACUGGAACUGAGACACGGUCCAGACUCCUACGGGAGGCAGCAGUGGGGAAUAUUGGACAAUGGGCGAAAGCCUGAUCCAGCCAUGCCGCGUGUGUGAAGAAGGUCUUCGGAUUGUAAAGCACUUUAAGUUGGGAGGAAGGGCAGUAAAUUAAUACUUUGCUGUUUUGACGUUACCGACAGAAUAAGCACCGGCUAACUCUGUGCCAGCAGCCGCGGUAAUACAGAGGGUGCAAGCGUUAAUCGGAAUUACUGGGCGUAAAGCGCGCGUAGGUGGUUCGUUAAGUUGGAUGUGAAAUCCCCGGGCUCAACCUGGGAACUGCAUUCAAAACUGACGAGCUAGAGUAUGGUAGAGGGUGGUGGAAUUUCCUGUGUA